CGCGAUCAUCUCUACUUCGCCGUGGUGUUAUUGCUCAUGGAGCUCAACUUCUGCGCCAGCGCGUCGACGUACCAAGCCGGUCGUCUCCUCUCCGGCGGCAGCGUCUCAGCCUCCGCACCGCCCUUCAUCCCUUCGUUCAGCAGCUCCUCCCAAAAGUCGUCGGUGAGCUCCGCCGUCUCGAACCCGCCCUGCUGCUGGCUCCGCGCGCGGCCACCCUGCUUCUCGCUCCCGUCCUGCCUGCGCUUGCCGAGCCCCUGGAUGUUGAGCGCCAGGUUCUCCAGCUCCGACGUGGUCCCUCGCUCGUCCAGCUCCGCGAACAGCGCCCGCGUGGCGGUGGGGUCGUCGUCGUCGCCCUGCUGCUGCUCCUCCUCCUGCUGCUGCAAGCCGCCGUUGGCCGGCGCGGCGCCGAUGGGCCGCCUCCGCUUCCGGGAGGCGGCGGAGAGCAGCGCCGCGCCCUCCAGCUCCCUCCGCCGGGCUUGCUGCUGUGCCAGCAGCUGGAACAAGUCUGGGCUCUGCACCGCCCGCGCCAGGAACCCCAUCAUCUGCACCUGCUUGUGCUCCGCGUGCCGCAGCCGCUCCUCCAUGGCCCGCAUGCCCGCCCGCGUGCUCUGCUGCUCCUGCCGCAGCUUCACCACCUCCGCCAGCAGGAUGCUCUUGUCACGCCUCAGCCGCUCCAUCUCUCCGUCCAGCCCUCCGAACCGGCCCACCUCCAGGCACGACCCCUGCGACUGCGACGCCUGGAGGUACGGCGGCGGUGGCGCCGGCCUUCGACGCUUGAUCAGCCGGAGAAGAUGCCUCUGGCCCCUCAGGAAUCCUUCGUUCGCGAACUCCCAGCUGUCCGGGUCGAUCUUUCUGAAGCCCUGCACGUCGCAAAGCGAUGAACACGCGCAGCGUUCAGUAAGCUGCAUUUCCAGAAGCCAUCACACACUAAGAAUCGACAAAUGCCGACGCUGAGCCAAUUAACAAGACAAGAUGGCAAAUUUAUGUAAAACUUUAGGUUUCACAUAAGUUUUGCGACCGAAUUUACAGGCACGGGCAGUGGUAUACACUAGCAGUAUAUUGCUUGGUGGUGAGUGGUGAUCAAAGGAGUGAGUCUUCUUUAUCUUUAGGACAAACAAGCAGUUUGUUUCUUUCUCGUAGGCUGUAGUAGCUUCGUUCAUCCCUUGUCCUGGUCCAUCUAGCUACACAGUAACAAGGCGAACAAAGAGCAUGUCAGAGG
rnacentral:misc_RNA from 1 species